rnacentral:lncRNA from 1 species
AAUGUCAAUUUUUCUACCUUCGACAAUUGAGAGUAUUGCCUCUCAAAUUCCCUUAGUAGCUCUGUUGCUUGCAAAUUCUUAUUAGGCCGUUCAAUCCAUUCCAGAAACAGCUUCUUAGUAACGCGAUCAGCAUCUUCCAAGAAAUAUUCGUCUUUCAAUGCAUGUGAAAAAAUCUCCCAUGAAUUCCCAUAAGGAUCCGUAAUCGAUGUAAUAUGGUCUCUUAUCUCCGGUAUUAUGGCAAGUCCAAAUAAUUCAACCAUUUUCUUCUCAGAAACCCGAUUUAAUUCUAUUUCACAAACAUAACAUCUUAAAUACCUUGAAAUAUUCCUUCCAUCAAAUUGAUCAAUUUUAUUGACCACUGCUUG